AGCACUAGACCAAACGAGAGUUAGUUUUUUGAAGUCAAUCUUUCAGUAAGUUCAUUUUGUAGAAGGCAUUGUAUGAUAAAAUAUUUGCUGAGCUUUAUUAUCAAUUAAAAUAUAUUUUACAUCAUAGUUGACUAUGGUUAAGGAAACUACGAUAGCAUCAUCAUAGGGGUUUUGAAUGCAAUCAGCAUCGACAUCUGAGAAUAAGAUCAUCUCAUCUAUCCUUUGCCCCUUUGGUGCAAAACUCCCACUCUAAGCCGCAUGAGCAUAGGUCCUUCUUACUCAAUGAGUUGGUGUCAUUUGCCAUUGGUCAACCUAUAAUCAUG
rnacentral:lncRNA from 1 species